CACAGAAGAAAAACGCCUGCGGUUGUGUUGAAGCUGGACUUCUCCAAGGCUUUUGACUCGGUUAACUGGGAGAGUCUCCGUUCUAUCAUGGAGGUCCGUGGCUUCCCGACUGUUUGGUGUGACUGGAUUGACGAGAUCCUCCAUUCAUCCCGCUCGGCGGUCUUGCUGAAUGGGGUGCCUGGGAAAUGGUUUGCAAUGAAGUGUGGUCUACGCCAGGGGGAUCCGAUCUCACCUUACCUCUUCCUGAUCGUUGCAGACGUGCUGCAGCAGCUGAUCCGUCAGGAUACAGUCAUGAGGCAUCCGCUUGUGCCCGGCUCCCCCGCCGUUGUGCUCCAAUAUGCCGACGACGCGUUGGUUCUCAUGAGGGCGGACGAGGAGGGCGCGGUUCGUCUCCGUCAAAUCCUGGAUAUGUUUGCUGAGGCGACUGGGCUGCGGAUCAAUUUUGCCAAAAGCACGCUCGUCCCAGUUCAUGUUGAUCAAGAGACACAGGAUGUGGUCGUUCGGGCGCUGGGCUGCGUGGUUGGAGCCUUCCCGCAAACCUAUCUCGGGUUGCCGCUGUCGUGGGAAAAACUGAAAUUCGCAGAUUUUUUGCCGAUGCUCGCAAGAGUCGAUAAAUAUCUUGCUGGCUGGGCGGCGCGCCUACUCUCACCCGCUGCGCGUUUGGUCCUUAUCAACGCGGUUCUGGACGCCUUACCAACCUAUGCCAUGGCUGCCCUGCUCCUCCCCCCAGCUUUGAUCAGAGAGCUGGAUGCCAUGCGGAGGGACUUUCUGGGGAAUGUUGCUGAGAGAGCCUCGGGAGCACAAUGCUUGGUUGCCUGGGACCGGGUUUGCCGCACGAAAAGUGAAUGA
rnacentral:rRNA from 1 species